ACGAACGCUGGCGGCACGCUUAACACAUGCAAGUCGAACGAGAGAAGAGAAGCUUGCUUUUCUGAUCUAGUGGCGGACGGGUGAGUAACACGUGAGCAAUCUGCCUUUCAGAGGGGGAUACCGAUUGGAAACGAUCGUUAAUACCGCAUAAUAUAAUUGAACCGCAUGAUUUGAUUAUCAAAGAUUUAUCGCUGAAAGAUGAGCUCGCGUCUGAUUAGCUAGUUGGUAAGGUAACGGCUUACCAAGGCGACGAUCAGUAGCCGGACUGAGAGGUUGAUCGGCCACAUUGGGACUGAGACACGGCCCAGACUCCUACGGGAGGCAGCAGUGGGGAAUAUUGCACAAUGGAGGAAACUCUGAUGCAGCGAUGCCGCGUGAGGGAAGAAGGUUUUAGGAUUGUAAACCUCUGUCUUCAGGGACGAAAAAUGACGGUACCUGAGGAGGAAGCUCCGGCUAACUACGUGCCAGCAGCCGCGGUAAUACGUAGGGAGCGAGCGUUGUCCGGAAUUACUGGGUGUAAAGGGAGCGUAGGCGGGAUCGCAAGUCAGAUGUGAAAACUAUGGGCUUAACCCAUAAACUGCAUUUGAAACUGUGGUUCUUGAGUGAAGUAGAGGUAAGCGGAAUUCCUAGUGUAGCGGUGAAAUGCGUAGAUAUUAGGAGGAACACCAGUGGCGAAGGCGGCUUACUGGGCUUUAACUGACGCUGAGGCUCGAAAGCGUGGGGAGCAAACAGGAUUAGAUACCCUGGUAGUCCACGCCGUAAACGAUGAUUACUAGGUGUGGGGGGACUGACCCCUUCCGUGCCGCAGCAAACGCAAUAAGUAAUCCACCUGGGGAGUACGACCGCAAGGUUGAAACUCAAAGGAAUUGACGGGGGCCCGCACAAGCAGUGGAGUAUGUGGAUUAAUUCGAAGCAACGCGAAGAACCUUACCAGGUCUUGACAUCGUAUGCAUAGCUCAGAGAUGAGUGAAAUCUCUUCGGAGACAUAUAGACAGGUGGUGCAUGGUUGUCGUCAGCUCGUGUCGUGAGAUGUUGGGUUAAGUCCCGCAACGAGCGCAACCCUUACUGUUAGUUGCUACGCAAGAGCACUCUAGCAGGACUGCCGUUGACAAAACGGAGGAAGGUGGGGAUGACGUCAAAUCAUCAUGCCCCUUAUGACCUGGGCCUCACACGUACUACAAUGGCUGUCAACAGAGGGAAGCAAAGCCGCGAGGUGGAGCAAACCCCUAAAAGCAGUCUUAGUUCGGAUUGUAGGCUGCAACCCGCCUACAUGAAGUCGGAAUUGCUAGUAAUCGCAGAUCAGCAUGCUGCGGUGAAUACGUUCCCGGGCCUUGUACACACCGCCCGUCACGCCAUGGGAGUCGGUAACACCCGAAGCCUGUAGUCUAACCGCAAGGAGGACGCAGUCGAAGGUGGGAUUGAUGACUGGGGUG
rnacentral:rRNA from 1 species